UACGAAGGGGGCUAGCGUUGUUCGGAGUUACUGGGCGUAAAGGGCGCGUAGGCGGCCCUCCAAGUCGGACGUGAAAUCCCCAGGCUCAACCUGGGAACUGCGUCCGAUACUGGAUGGCUUGAAUCCGGGAGAGGGAUGCAGAAUUCCAGGUGUAGCGGUGAAAUGCGUAGAUAUCUGGAGGAAUACCGGUGGCGAAGGCGGCAUCCUGGACCGGCAUUGACGCUGAGGAGCGAAAGCCAGGGGAGCAAACGGG
rnacentral:rRNA from 1 species